GAUGAACGCUGGCGGCGUGCCUAAUACAUGCAAGUCGAGCGAACGGACGAGAAGCUUGCUUCUCUGAUGUUAGCGGCGGACGGGUGAGUAACACGUGGAUAACCUACCUAUAAGACUGGGAUAACUUCGGGAAACCGUAGCUAAUACCGGAUAAUAUUUUGAACCGCAUGGUUCAAAAGUGAAAGACGGUCUUGCUGUCACUUAUAGAUGGAUCCGCGCUGCAUUAGCUAGUUGGUAAGGUAACGGCUUACCAAGGCAACGAUGCCUAGCCGACCUGAGAGGGGGAUCGGCCACACUGGAACUGAGACACGGUCCAGACUCCUACGGGAGGCAGCAGUAGGGAAUCUUCCGCAAUGGGCGAAAGCCUGACGGAGCAACGCCGCGUGAGUGAUGAAGGUCUUCGGAUCGUAAAACUCUGUUAUUAGGGAAGAACAUAUGUGUAAGUAACUGUGCACAUCUUGACGGUACCUAAUCAGAAAGCCACGGCUAACUACGUG
rnacentral:rRNA from 1 species